CUUGCUCCACCCAAAAAACACAAUUCCAUUUCAUUUUGCUUCUACAUUUCCUUGUUGGAUUGCAGCAACUCUACUCCUUAUUUGAUCCUGUAUAUAUCGCUCAAAAACUGGAAUAGCAGAACUAGAGUUCAGAUGAAAUUGACAUUCUUGAACAAAAUUUCUUGACUUACUUAUUUCAAAUAAUGGAUAAAAGCAAUUUUGAAAUAGCAACUGAUGAGGAGAUUGAGGUUGCACAGUCCGGGCGGUGUAUUCUAAAUCUUCCCAUCACAGUUGAUGAAUCUAAGCUUAACAAAACAAUUUUGAAGAAGUACUUUGCGGAGCAUCCAACGGAAAAUCUACCUGAAUUUGCUGAUAAGGCAUUUGUCUAGUUAUAGCUGGAAAGUAUAAGGUUCUAUAAGAAGCUUUAGCCUAUGCUAUAAAGUUCUAAGAAACAUUAAUGCUUUAUAGUCUGAAUAAAUUUUGUUUGCUACAUUGAUGUGAAUAUAAGCAUAAUAUUUGAUGUUCAAUGGCAGACAUUUACUGUUUACCUAAAUUUGAGAAGCUCUUUUGGUUGAAUGCUAUUAGAUUGGUAGUGGAAAGACCUACAUGAUGUUGGGACCUCCAAGUGCUAUGGUUGAUGUUCUAAUUCUCUUUCAGCCAAUUGUCUACAGGGUGUUGUUCCUCACAUUUUCCAAGAGCUUUGAAAGUACUUGGUAAAGAAAAUUUUCAUUUGUAUUUG